AGCCGACACCGAUGGCGGCCCCUCCGCCCCGCCCCCCCGGGCCGGCAUCGCCGCCGCGGCCUCCCCGCCCGUCGCCCCCGUCCCCGCCUCCCUCCCCGCCUCCUUCCCCGGCGCACAGCCGCUUCCUCGCCCCUGGACGCCCCGAGGGAGAAGUCGCCAGGAGCCCCCCGGCUCCGCGGGGGUUGCGCGGGACUGUGCGGCACCCGCUGGUGCGCAGGGAGGUGUUUGCAGGGCCGGAGCUCCCCCCUGCCCCGCGGAGUUCGCGCCGGCCCCUCCGCUACCGCUGGGUGAGGAGAGCCGCCGCCGCCUGUCCCGCCGCAGCCGGGGCGGGGGACCAGCAGCCUCCCCCUGUCCCGGGAGGGCAGGACGGAGAGGAGCCCUAGCGCUGACGAUUACAUUAUUUUAUGGCUCUUCCCUGAUGCUCCAUAAAUAGCCACUGGUCCCAAAUUAGGGUACUGUGAUUGAAGAACAUGAAGUCCUUAGUUAUAAUGUUUGUAACCUACUUCAACAACAUUUAAAUAAAUUUCUCCUGGAUGAGACUGUUUAAAGACAGUUUAAAGGGUUGUUCUUUUAUCUAAAGUAAGUCUGGCCUUCUAAUACAGCUGCUCAGACUUUCUUCAAAACAGUGAGGUUCCUUCUCUAUUAUUGUCAGUCCUUUUUGAUAUACUUGUGGUACCUGUCUCUCUCUCUCUGAUUAGAAGCAGGAGUGUGGAACUUACAAGACUCUGAUCAUACUCAGCAGUACUUGACACUGUUUUUGCAAGCAGCUGGUUACUAGAGGCUGAAGCCAAUGUCAUCAUUUUGUUUGUAUUAUCAUGCUGAGUCCAAACUUUGCCAUAUAAAUACAACCAGAUGUUCCUUAGCAGAGGCACUUUGAAUGCAGCAUGUUACAGUACAACCCCAUCAGUGCUGAUCCCACUCUUCCAUCUUUGCUUUUAGUGCACUCCUGUUACUUUUCUCUGAAUUACUGAAGUACCCUGAAACACCUGUACAGUACAAAUAAACUUGGACUUUUAAUAAAUGUUUUCUGCUAUUUUAUUUAGAGAACUUAUAAUAACACAAUACUUUACAGUGUAGGAACAGUUGUUGGAUGAACAGAAGUAAGGACAGCCUUUAUUCCCUAAACUUUCAGACUUCUGGGGGAUUCUGUAGAUGUAUUUGAUCCAAGUUUAGGUUGCCUUUAAAAGUAAAUUUUCCAAAAAUAAUUUCAAAUACUUUUCUGUGUGGAUUCUACACAGUGUGUGCUAAUGAAAUAUGCCAAUGCACGUUGAUCUCAUACAUUUUGCCUCUAAGGGGAACAGACUUGUGUGCAUGUGGUAAGAGAGACAAAUAAGUUCUAAUUAGCAAGCCUUGUAAAAGAAAGAAAACCAUGUUGUUGCACAAACAUAAGAUCAGAACAACUUUGAAAUUUUCACUCAAGUUCUUGCCCAAGACUACACGUUCUAUGAGGAAGAUUUUCAGGAUGUCUCACUAUUUAAAAGUACACCUUAAUAAUUGAGAUUUAAAAUAUCUCAAUGCUAAAAGAGUCUUUAAGAGUAGGAAUUUAUUGCUAGUCCAUUUGCCUUUGCAGUAAAUAGGAUAGACCUAUUAAUGCAUUUAGUCUUUUUUCUGUCAGCAUAGUUGUUCCAAUUUCAAAUCUAUUCUUUGCUGUUAUUAGAAGGCAUCCAGCCCUAGAAUUAAAAUGAUGGUUGACUUUGCUAACUUUUCAGAAAUUAGUUCUCAGCAGGCUAUUUUGAGUGAGCAUUUUGCACUUUGCUCCUUUGUUCCCCACUUGGCUCUUGAUUACUUGGUGUGUGCAGUGUCCCACAGAGCAAAUCAUAGUGGACUAAUUAAGAACUACCAAGAGUUUCCCGAGUUAUGCAAGAUCCCCAGAACUAUGAAAAGCCUUUUCAGCUUCCCAGUCACAUACUGUGAAGUGCCAUAAAUCAAACUUUUGAAAACACUGAAAGCUGUCCUUCGGACACUUACCGGUAUACUUUAGUUCCUGAAGAAAGUAUUUACUUUUGUUAAAGUUUACUGCUAGGUUGAAAUCCCACAGGCUAUGAACCUUCUGAAUACCAGUAGCAUUGAUUUAAUGGCACAUUAAAUCACUUAUUGGUGACACUGGUGACAUUAUUGUCUUUACUUUUACAUGAGUCUGGAAGACUUAGUGAAGUGAGAGCAAACAGUUGGGCUUUAGUGUUAGAGCUUAGCCAUGAGGAUAAAGGAAACUAAACCUCACGUGUCAUAUUACACUCUGGAGGUCAGGGAGUUAUUUUUACCUCAGUGUCACUAGUAUGGGAAAAUGUGGAAGACCUCAGCUUAUGUUGAAACUAUAGGAGGUGGCCAAGUUAUUUGUUAAGAUGGGUCAUAGUGUCAUCUUGUGCAACAAAUGUUAUGGUUGGAGUCCUGCAAGUGUCCUCACCCUGCAUAUCGGUCACUUGGUCAUAUAGGUUGCUCAGUGUCACACUACAUGAACAACUCUGUAUUUGUCCUUACUAAAAAGGACAAAUUUUAUUAUUGAAGUGUUGUAUCAUUGGGGAAAUUGUUAUUUUGGAUUAUUCUAUGCUAAAAUGACAUACAUUGUAGAUAACCAUGAGGUCGUGUCAUUAAAACAAAACCCCAAGAUUUAGAUUAGGUGGUUGUACUGAAACAAUCAUGGGGCAGCUACAUUGCAUGCUGCUGGAGUUAAAUCCAGUGUAUAGCAUACAGUAAAAUUACAGCUGGGAAAUUCUGAUAGUUGCCUUUUAUUUUGUUUCCUUUGUCCAAGAAAAACACCUGUGAUUAAAUAGCCAGCUAUAAAAAUAAACAAGAAAAACCCUUCUACAUGCCCAAGCAUAUCUUGAAGUCUCAGAUCUGGAGUGCCCCUUUCCCUCUGCAGCUGUGUCUGUGCACAGUAACUGGUACAGUUAAUUUGCACUGUUACAAGCAGGAGAGCCUGGCCACAGGACAAGUGCUUCUUCUCUUGCUACUGAAGAUGGACAUAAAGAACAUUGAACAAGAAAUGACAGCUUUCAUUGAUGGGAUCUAAUUUGUGUGAAGAAGCUGACAGUUGCCAUAAGAUUUAAACCAAAAUAAAUAGUCUCAGACUAGCUAAGAAUGCAGUGGACUUGGCAGUAUUAGGUUUACAGUUAGACUCAUUGAUCUUAAAGGUCUUUUCAAUCUAAAUGCUUCUCUGAUUUUAAGAAUUAAUUAAAUUGCUAUAUUGAUAUGUUAGUAAAUGGAAUACAGGGAAAUAUUCUUACUAAAUACAUCAAAAUGCAGCAGCUGAGCAGUUAAAAUGCUGUUAUAUAUCUUACGAAAAGUUAAAUGCAAUUUUAGUUUGGAAAGACAUAAUAUAAAACAGCAUCCAAAUCUCCCCUCUCUUGUACAUUUCAUGAAUUCUCUAAGUGAGCGUUUUCUUUAAACAAAUAAAUCUGUGGGUUUGAAUACCAGCAUAUGAUCGAUUGCAGUGAAGAGAAAAGGUUUUAGCCAGAGUUGCCAGACUGUAUUUGAACCAGCUCUGCAGGAGUCAGAGCAGAAGGGAGGAGAGCAGAGCAAAGCCUUGUUUUGCAGAAAGCCUCCCUGAGUUGAAAUAUUUAUUAGACUGUAAAUCUUCUAGUCUCAUAGUGUUUAAUAAAACCUGUCUGUGACAUGCAGUCUAUCAGAAAAACAAUCAAAUUUCUGUCUGAGGUCAUACCCGUUCAACACAAUUAACAACCUAAUUUUUUUUCUAUUAUUUUGUUUGCAUUUUAACAUUAUGUGUCAUAAGGAGUUCUUUUUUAAUGUUCUUGUGGUUUCAUGUGAAAAGAGGAAAGAAAAUACAUGAAUGUGAAGUAGGUCUCUCAGCAAAUAUUUAAUGGACUGAAAAUCUUGCUUGAUAAAGAUUGCAUUUUAAUAAAAAUAGAAACAUUUCCAUUGUAUUUGAGAGAAGAUGACCAACCAUGAUCUGCUGAGAAGCAAAAAUGUAAGAGAGCCUUAUUUUCUUUUAAGAAUUCAUAGCAACUGUAAAGGGUGGAAAUAAUCUCCAGGGCUCUUUAAGUCAAGUUAUCUCUAUCCCAUUGUCCUGACAGCUGACCUGCUAACAGGCCCAUGACUUCACAGGUAGGUGUUAGUGGAAUAAAUAGUGAUUGAGUUACAGGGCAGUUAUAAAUAUUCAUGCUAUUUAGCUGCAAGCAAAAACACGUUAAUUUUUCCCUUAAAUAAUUUCAAAUGUUUAUAGCUUGCAUAAAUAAAUUGAACAGGCUGAGAGAGAAGGUUUAGUAAUAUGAAUUUUGUCAGCUAAAGAACUCUUGAUCAGGUAAAAGAAAGCUCUGUGAAUAUUGCUGAUUUCUCUGGGUAUGGGGAAGGAGCCUGUCUUCAUGAUAGCCUUUAAAUCUUCUUUAAGCCCCUGCUUGAAAGGCAGUCCAGAAUGACAAAGCACAAGAACAGACCAUGUGCUCUGUUUCCUCACUGCAUGUUCUGUGCUUUGCUCCAGACUCUUUAGUGUGCCCUUCAUCUCCUGUUUGCUAGACCAAACACACACAGUUUUAUCAGCUUGUCCCUAACAUAAGGUUUUCUCACUGCUUAUCAGCUUUCCUCUCCUGGGUUCUCCUCAGUCCAUGCUUUGAGCUGAGCACUGUUCUGCUAAAGCACUGCCUGCAGGGAAUGCCAGGCAAGGGUUGUUUUGGCACCUUGCACACACAGGUGAACACGGCAGGCACUCGCCUCACUGUGCUCUCCUUGCAGCUCCCUGGUCUGUGACAGGAGCCUGUCACAGCAGUGGAAGUGCCAUAAAGACAACUUUCUCAGGAACAUAUUUUGCAGCUGUUACAAGGUCAAAAGUUUCAUAUAAUUGCAGGGUUUUUUAUUUUCCAGGUAUUCCUUAGUCACUUUUCUCAUUUUUUUCCCCCAUCAAGUAGCGUUCUAAUAAACUAAAAAAAACUUUGAGCCCUUUUUGGCCAAAGGACAACAAAUUUAGUGCUUGCAGCCAUUCUAUUAACGAAUAUGGCACUUUUUUCUUGGUAUCUAAAGAAAGAACUAACUGUACAGAACUCUCUGGAGUGCAGCCAGGUACUUCUGAAAGGGUGAAAUUCAGACGUGCUUUCUGCUCAUAUGAAUAUUGCUUUUGCAUUGUGGAACAUUCAAGUCCAGCAGUUGGAUGUAAGUGUUGAGACACUUCAGUAUGUUACUACAUUUUAAGGGGUAUGUUCUUAUUCUAAAUUACUGCCAUGUAAUUCAUCCUGAUUGAGGGAGUCUAGAAGUUCUUUAACUAAUGCCUGUCUUCUCUAAAAGAAAAAAAGGGCAUUCUUAAAGCCCAGGAGAAAUGGCAGUUUGAGGGUACAGAUUUCUGUAAUAUUACUUGGCAUGUAUUCUUGACAAAGAGAAAUAAAGGCAGGAAAUAAAAUACUGAUCACAAAUUGUAUCAGCACAAGAGCUGGAAAUAGUUUAUCUAAGCUUCUGAUCUACCAUUUUUGGGGUUAAGCAAAAUGUUUAAAUGUUCUUGCAGCUGUGCUGGAUUUAAUGUAACCCAAAUAAAUCAUUAAAUAUGUUCUUUUCAGACCUUGUCAGGUAGUUUAAUUUAUG